GACGAACGCUGGCGGCGUGCUUAACACAUGCAAGUCGAACGGUGAAGCGCCUUCCUUUUUGGUGGGUGUGGAUGAGUGGCGAACGGGUGAGUAACACGUGAGUAACCUGCCCCCUUCUUCUGGAUAACCUCAUGAAAGUGUGGCUAAUACGGGAUAUUCUGGGUCUGUCGCAUGAUGGGUCUGGGAAAGAUAUUGUUUCGGUGGGGGAUGGGCUCGCGGCCUAUCAGCUUGUUGGUGGGGUGAUGGCCUGCCAAGGCGGUGACGGGUAGCCGGCCUGAGAGGGUGGACGGUCACGAGGGGAAUGAGACACGGUCGGGACGCGUACGGGAGGCAGCAGUGGGGAAUAUUGGACGUUGGGAGUAAGGCUGAUGCAGCGAAGGCGCGUGAGGGAUGCAGGGCUUCGGGGUGUGAACCUCUUUCGCUAGUGAAGGAGGCCUGCAUGGUUUGUGGGUGGGUUGACGGUAGCUGGAUAAGAAGCGCCGGCUAACUACGUG
rnacentral:rRNA from 1 species